rnacentral:lncRNA from 1 species
AAUGGUUUCCUAAUUGGAUCUGAGGUUUUCGGUUGUUUGAAGGUUAAAAAAGGCAAGCUCUUUGCACUAUAUUUCAAUUUAGACUUCUCUCUUAUCAGUUUUCUGAGAUCCCGAUGGUUCUACGACUGAAUCUGAAUUGUUUGGUUGUUUGAAGGUAAAAAAAGGCAAGCUCUUUGCACUGGAUUCGAUUUAGACUUCUUUCUUGUCAGUUUUUUUUUAUCUCGAUGGCUCUCCGACCGGAUCUAAGUUGUUUGGUUGUUUAAAGUUAAAAAAAGGCAAUCUCUUUUUGUCUGAAUUCGAUUUAUACUUCUUUCCUUUUAUUUUCCUGAGAUCCCCAUAGUUAAAAUCAAUUCUACCUUAUGCAAGAUUGCAGAUCCACCACUUUCCCCUCUGUCCCAUCCUCCGUUUUCUAGCAUCCUGCUGCUCCUUUUGUGGUAAGAAAUUCAUAAACACCUUCUCCCAAUCUCUCUCCAUGAAUAUUGAGAUUGCACAUGUAAAUGUGUUGUGUGCUCAGAUGCUAUUUAAUGUGAUGAAAAUGAUGUUGGUUUAUUGUUUGGUUGUUUGAAGGUAAAAAAAAAAGGCGAACUCUUCGAUGGCUCUCGAACCGGAUAUGAGUUGUUUGGCUGUUUAAAGGGAAAAAAGGCAAGCUUUUUUCUCUGGAAUUCGAUUUAUACUUCUUUACUUUUAUUUUCCCGAGAUCCUAAUGGUUAAAAUCAAUUCCCUUGUGCAGGAUUGCAGAUCCACCCCUUCCCCCUCUGUCCUGUCAGCUGUUAUCUAGCUUCCUGCUGCUCCUUUUGUGGUAAGAAAUUCAUAAGCACCUCCUCCCAACCCCUC